rnacentral:lncRNA from 1 species
GAUAAUUACCAAAAACCUGCAAAAUGUAAUUUAAAUUACCGAUUCAGGGACAGCACCACAACAACGAGUUGUCUGAUUCGCCUGCAAAUUACAGGGCAGAUUGUCGAAUUUACUCUAUUUAUUAGUUUCAGAAAUAUAAGUCAAAAACUGCAUUUUACCCCUAUAUUCUUUUUUUAGCCAUGGUGGCCGUGUUGGUUUGCAAGCGGGUCAUCGGACGUAUAUUUAAAAACUAAAUACCCUAAUGAUGAUUUUAGUCAAGUUGGGUUAAACUUGGUUC